AGAGUUUGAUCAUGGCUCAGAACGAACGCUGGCGGCGUGGAUAAGACAUGCAAGUCGAGCGGGAUUUCUUUUGGUAGCAAUACCGAGAGAAAUUCAGCGGCGAACGGGUGCGUAACACGUGGGCAAUUUGCCUUAAAGUGUGGGAUAGCUCGGCGAAAGCCGAAUUAAUACCGCAUGUGGCUACUGGAGACAUCUUCGGGACGCUAAAGGUGGCGCAAGCUACCGCUUUUUGAGGAGCCCGCGGCCUAUCAGCUUGUUGGCGAGGUAACGGCUCACCAAGGCGAUGACGGGUAGCUGGUCUGAGAGGACGACCAGCCACACUGGGACUGAGACACGGCCCAGACACCUACGGGUGGCAGCAGUCGAGAAUUUUUGACAAUGGGGGAAACCCUGAUCGAGCGACGCCGCGUGGAGGAUGAAGGUCUUCGGGUUGUAAACUCCUGUCAUUUGGGAACAAGGCGUAGGUAUUAACUGUACGUGCGUUGAUAGUACCAGAAGAGGAAGAGACGGCUAACUCUGUGCCAGCAGCCGCGGUAAUACAGAGGUCUCAAGCGUUGUUCGGAUUCAUUGGGCGUAAAGGGUGUGUAGGUGGCGCGCUAAGUCGGGUGUGAAAUUUCGGAGCUUAACUCCGAAACUGCAUUCGAUACUGGCGUGCUUGAGGACUGGAGAGGAGACUGGAAUUUACGGUGUAGCAGUGAAAUGCGUAGAUAUCGUAAGGAAGACCAGUGGCGAAGGCGGGUCUCUGGACAGUUCCUGACACUGAGACACGAAGGCCAGGGGAGCAAACGGGAUUAGAUACCCCCGUAGUCC
rnacentral:rRNA from 1 species